rnacentral:rRNA from 1 species
GAUGAACGCUAGCGAUAGGCUUAACACAUGCCAGUCGAGGGGCAGCAUGGUCUUAGCUUGCUAAGACUGAUGGCGACCGGCGCACGGGUGCGUAACGCGUAUGCAACUUGCCUCACAGAGGGGGAUAACCCGUCGAAAGACGGACUAAUACCGCGUACACUUGGGAUAGGGCAUCCUGACCCAAGGACAUGAAAUUCGCUGUGAGAUAGGCAUGCGUCCCAUUAGCUAGUUGGUGAGGUAACGGCUCACCAAGGCGACGAUGGGUAGGGGUACUGAGAGGUUGAACCCCCACGAUGGUACUGAGACACGGACCAGGCUCCUACGGGAGGCAGCAGUGAGGAAUAUUGGUCAAUGGGCGAGAGCCUGAACCAGCCAAGUCGCGUGAAGGAUGACUGUCUUAUGGAUUGUAAACUUCUUUUAUACGGGAAUAACAAGAGCCACGUGUGGCUCCCUGCAUGUACCGGAUGAAUAAGCAUCGGCUAACUCCGUG